rnacentral:rRNA from 1 species
UACGUAGGGUGCAAGCGUUAAUCGGAAUUACUGGGCGUAAAGCGUGCGCAGGCGGUUAUGUAAGACAGAUGUGAAAUGCCCGGGCUUAACCUGGGAACUGCAUUUGUGACUGCAUGGCUAGAGUUUGGCAGAGGGGGGUAGAAUUCCACGUGUAGCAGUGAAAUGCGUAGAGAUGUGGAGGAACACCGAUGGCGAAGGCAGCCCCUC